CUGCUAUGGAAUGGGUAGCAGUGUAGGUCAGUCCAGCAGGAAACAAAAUAAAGCGUGGAACUCUUCUGCCUUUUCCCAGCACAGCAGCCUGUAGGCCUCGGCAAGUCUCAACAGGCUCCCAAGUUAGGUAUCAGUGGGUUAAUCACAGCUACCCCACUUCAGUUUGCGUGGAAUCGCCCAUAUUUUAAAAAUAUCCCUCAAAAAUCAGUAAGCAAAACGGGAGCUCGCCCAGUACACCUCUGAUCAGCACGUGUCUCAGGCUCUGCUCACCCUAGUUAUUUUAACACUGUUAGAUCAGGAAUACACGUUUGUGUUUCUGACCCUAUAGUAUUCCUUUAAUA